ensembl:lncRNA
GGAGUCUUGAGUGUACAUGCCCCCCCCCCCCCCACACUACAGCUGAGAGACCCUGAAGGCAACUCCCCCUGAGUUACAUAUCUCAGGGGUAAUGUGACUCACUGGGCAAAGCUGGGAAGGGCAUCCUGCUUCCAGAGGAGAGAAGAAUAAAGCCUGGGCUGUCCCGGGCAGCCUCUCUCUAGCUCCAGAUGUUACAUUUUCUAGGAGGGACAGAAACGGGGCUUGGGCUGUUUCAGGCAGUUACUGCCUGUUUUGGGUUUGUCUGUUUGUUUGAGAAAGAGUUGCUCUGUUGCCUAGACUGGAGUGCAAUGGUAUGAUCUCAGCUCACUGCAACCUCUGCGUCCCGGGUUCAAGCUAUUCUCCUGCCUCAGUCUCCUGAGUAGCUGGGAUUACAGGUGCCCGCCACCAUACCUGGCUAAUUUUUGUAUUUUUAGUAGAGAUGGGGUUUUACCACGUUGGCCAGGCUGGUCUUGAACUCCUGAUGUCAAGUGAUCCGCCCGCCUCCACCUCCCAAAGUGCUAGGGUUACAGGCAUGAACCACCACGCCGGGGCUAUUUUGGGUAUUAUGUUUUCAGCAUAUUCUACAGGUUUUUUUUGAAAACUACAAGCAAGAAAGAGGGUGAGAAUUAGGUCAGUGCAAGGUCCCCUGGAGGACUGUCCUGUAGUCACCCCCCACCAACCCAGAUAUCCCUCUUAGCAAAGCUAGUGCAUUUCAUAUGUCCACAGGCUUCCCCAGAUCUGGAAGUAGAGGUUUGCCUUGUCAAGUCAAUGUGACACCUUCACUGACACAAUGUUCGUGCAACAUCACUGAGUGAGCCAGAGUACAUUUCAUUAGGCCCAGGAGUAUUAUAACCACAAGCAGGGUGGCUGUACCUGCCUGAGCAGUCACCUACCCAAGGUUCCAGUGAUCCAGAUAAGAAUUCAUUAAAGAGACCAAAGAAGGAUUCUUCAGAUGUCCCCACUGUCUGCAGCAAGGGGGGCUGCAUUUGGAUCUCCUCCACCUGUGUCUCCACAAUGCCUGAGGUGUUUAUCUAGAUCGAGCAGGAAGUGUUGGCAACGACAUUCCUCCCAACUGGUCUAAAAGGGAGCCUAGAAGAAUUCUGUUGCCCAAACGACUUUCUUUAAGAACUUGGAGGAUAUCUGCUGGGCUGCUACAGCAGGGGCAGUGGAAGAAACAAUAUCUUUCAUGGUCAGGGACAGAUUCUUUUUUUUUUUCAGCUCUGACUCCUGUGUAUGGUACCAAAGCUCUCAUAAAGGACAUAAUUCCAGAGUCAGCUCCUCCUUCUAGCAGGUCCCUAGGUAGACUGGUGUACAGGUUUAGGCUGCUGGCCCAACAGUGCACCUCACCCCAAGGAGUGCUGUUUAGCAGCACCUCCAGCAGGCCCCAUGCAUGGAUCUCCGCAUCCAUCAGCUUUUUGGGCAUGACAUUGCCCCUCCCAUACUUAGGUCACCUCCAACUGCCCUCAGAGAAAGAUGUAGCCCUCGGAUGCACGCAGCAUCCAUUCCCCCGUUUUAUUGUUCAGCGACCUGUUCAUAGUACGGAGGCAUUGGCAUUCACCAGCUAGGCCUCAUUAAUCACAUAGUUGCAUGAGCUCAGUUUCCUCCAUUCGAUGAUGGUCAUGAAGCUCCUAUGCAGAGGACUAGCAUUUGUUUAGUCCUUGUUUUUGUUGUCACUGCUGGGACAUUUCUGAUCCAAGUAGUCAAAGGACCAUGUUGAAUCAAAGCACCAGCCCACCAAGGUUUUGUUAGGUGUGGUUGUGACACUUUGAGUUAGUUAAGUUGUAACAGGCCCCCUCUAGCCCCCUCUCAAGUGGCAAGUGCCAGAUCCUUACUCAGUAACCAGGGCCGGGAUUCUGUUAACGUACAUUGUGGCCUUAGGAAUGCUGGUGUACUUUACCAUUGGCAGGAUGAGAGGGUCUCUGUGGUCUGUAACAGAACAAAGUCUGGGAUGGAGGAUCCAGUACUUAGUCAGGCAGCCUGCAGUGAUCACAGCUUGGGAAUGCCUAAUGAAAGUGUUAUGCUCCAGGCUUCUACUGCCUCAUGGAUAAAGUAGAUUGACAGGUUUCUUCCCCUUCCCUUUCCCUUCCCCUGAGGUACAGGUAGUUCCUGCCUA